UGGGGAAUAUUGCGCAAUGGGCGAAAGCCUGACGCAGCAACGCCGCGUGAGUGAUGAAGGCCUUCGGGUCGUAAAGCUCUGUCGGAGGGAACGAAUGCUCCUGAAGUUAACAGCCUCAGGAGGUGACGGUACCCUCAAAGGAAGCACCGGCUAACUCUGUGCCAGCAGCCGCGGUAAUACAGAGGGUGCAAGCGUUGUUCGGAAUUACUGGGCGUAAAGCGCACGUAGGCGGAUUUGUAAGUCAGGGGUGAAAUCCCGGGGCUCAACCUCGGAACUGCCUUUGAUACUGCGAAUCUCGAGUCCGAUAGAGGUGAGUGGAAUUCCUAGUGUAGAGGUGAAAUUCGUAGAUAUUAGGAAGAACACCAGUGGCGAAGGCGGCUCACUGGAUCGGUACUGACGCUGAGGUGCGAAAGCGUGGGGAGCAAACAGGAUUAGAUACCCCCGUAGUCCCUGAGCGGGCUGGCAAGGCGCAU
rnacentral:rRNA from 1 species